rnacentral:misc_RNA from 1 species
GAUGAAGAACGUAGCGAAAUGCGAUAAGUAAUGUGAAUUGCAGAAUUCAGUGAAUCAUCGAAUCUUUGAACGCACAUUGCGCCCGUCAGUAUUCUGGCGGGCAUGCCUGUUCGAGCGUCAUUACGCCCCUCAAGUCCCCUGUGGACUUGGUGUUGGGGAUCGACGAGGCUGGUUUUCCAGCACAGCCGUCCCUUAAAUUAAUUGGCGGUCUCGCCGUGGCCCUCCUCUGCGCAGUAGUAAAACACUCGCAACAGGAGCCCGGCGCGGUCCACUGCCGUAAAACCCCCCAACUUUUUAUAGUUGACCUCGAAUCAGGUAGGACUACCCGCUGAACUUAAGCAUAUCAAUAAGCGGAGGA